rnacentral:misc_RNA from 1 species
UAAUAGGCCAAUAGCUAUAGUUUAGUUAAUCAUGUCAUUCAACCAUUAGAGCACAUGUAAUGAUUAAAAGUGCUGGUAUAUUUUCUCUUAAUGUCAAGUAAUGUUUUGCUUCUUUUCCGAAUUUCACUAUAAUCUUUAUAUCCCUCUGCCCUCCUAUUCUCUCAAAACCAAAGUUCUAACAUGAACUGAAUUAAUUCAGUUUGAUUAUUUAUUAACUCGGUUUCGGUUCGGUUUUAUAUUUUGAGAAUUUUGGUCUAUUCAGUUUUAUUGGUUUAGUGCAAUUUUAAACCAAACCGACUGAUGCUCACCCCCUACAUAUGAGGCAGUCACAUAAGAAAGGUCUGGUUUCUCAAUUGUGAAUGACGGAAUGAGUAGUGAAAAUGAUUCUUGCAUGUUUCUUUCGACCUAAUGUCAUAUUAUGCAUUUAGUUGCAUCAUCAUGUAUCAUUAGCACCUUUAGUGAUGAUGAUUAUCACAUGCGUUGAAGCUCACACUAAAUUGGUAUUGAAGCUAAUAGGCCAAUAGAGCUAAUCGUGGUAUUUAACCAUUUGAUCACAUGUUAUACUUCGCUGCAGAGUUUUCAAUCAUAUGGCAAUUUCAGUUUUCAUCUAGCUCAUUUAUGGGUGUGGGGUCCAAAGUUGUAAAUGUAAAUCUGAUAAUUUUGCUGAGAAUUCAUCAGCAUUCACAUUCUAACUAGAUGCUCAAGUAAACUCUUUUUGCUUUUUUAGCAUUUAUCAUUUUUCUAUGACAAUGAUAUUUGUUAAUUCUCUUAUAUGGGUGGUUUAUUGUUGUACAUUCUUUCACCUGAAGAGAGCCUCGUGGUUCUUGGUUUAGGGGGUUCUCUUAUGUGUUUGUCUCAAGCUGCAGUUGACACAAAAGAGACAAAUAUAUUUAUGGGUAUAUGAAAAAGAUUGCAUAUGCAUGUUUCCUCAUAGGAUUCCACUCGAUCUUUAAAUGUUAUAUUUGUUGUUAUUUGAUGUAGCAUGGGGUUGAUUGUCACUCCUUAUUCCUCCGUAAAGCAUAAUAUA